UGAUAGCACUUUAGACAGCAG
rnacentral:misc_RNA from 1 species